GCUUGUCAAUAACCAAUGGCAAGCCGCUGCCCCCUAAAUAUGGUCGUGUGAUGCGAAACAUCAAUUCCUCUAAAAUGCCUACAAUCGCAGCAAUAGUUCAAUCAUCUCCAGAUAAAAAAAGCUUUUGGUCCGGAUGAGAAGUUUCGUCAGUCGAAGAUAAUGAGGAAUGGGAAUGUCGCAUUGCAGAAUUCCACUACCAAUGGCAUGGAAAAUAGUAUUAACCAACUACCAUCUGCGCCAAAGAUGCAAAAUGACCAAAGAAUGGGAGGAACUGAUAAUGUGUCCGGUAAAGGAAAUGUGGAGAGUAAAGUUGCUUCUGCAGCCUGUUCCAGCAAUUUGACUUUGGAAAUCUGUUCAAAUAAUUUGGCAGUGUCUUCCAAUGAUAAUGGUUUCUCUCCUGCUAGCUCAAUGAUAUCUUUUGAACAGAAGGUGGUUGAAGUGAAAUCUCAGCCUCCUGCAAUACCUGAAACAGUUACCAUCUCAUUUGAUCACUCGCAAGCGUGGAAUCACCUGCAGGCCAAUGGCCAUGCACAGCUAGCGAAUAGUGUAGAGAUACCUUCCCAACAGUUUCCUGG
rnacentral:misc_RNA from 1 species